rnacentral:rRNA from 1 species
UACGUAGGGUGCAAGCGUUGUCCGGAAUUAUUGGGCGUAAAGAGCUCGUAGGCGGUUUGUCGCGUCGACUGUGAAAACCCGAGGCUUAACCUCGGGCCUGCAGUCGAUACGGGCAGACUAGAGUUCGGUAGGGGAGACUGGAAUUCCUGGUGUAGCGGUGAAAUGCGCAGAUAUCGGGAGGAACACCUGUGGCGAAGGCGGCUUUCUGGGCCUUACCUGACGCUGAGACGCGAAAGCGUGGGGAGCGAACCGG